AGUGGUUCUCAACCUUUUCGAGUCGCGACCCCCCAGAAUAAUGAGGUUGGUGUCGCGAACCCCCCACCCCCAUCGACAACGAGAGAAAGAGAGCUGCAAACUGGUGUAAACAGCUGUUUCUACACGCCUCCCCCUGCUGAUUUUAAGUACUUUUUGUGAAUGCUCUGCUGUAAAGAAAUAAUGCU